CCGAUCUCACUUCGUGGUUGACGGUACUUUUUACCGUCGUUACGUGAAAUUUUUAUCUUUAAUUUAAUUUAUGUUUUGUAUGGUUUAUGAUGGUUUUAGCUUUUUAGAUUCGUCGGUGUGAAGUGUACUUGCUGUAGAGGUGUCUAUUAGACCUUUCCAAUAUUUACCAUGGAUUGGGCGAGCGUUUCGAGACGAAACGUAUUUGAUUUGCAGGUUUUCUCUUGCAAGGAGGUGAUCAGUUUUAGCUAUGCAGAUCGCUAUUCUGCCUAACGAGUAUCCGUAGAGAAUCAAGAACUUCAGGGAAAGUUAGGUUUUUCUGGUUUUUCUCUGAUUACAAAAAUCGACGGUGUGAAUUUCGGUUCCUACAGUCAUGAUUAUGCGGGAUGCUUCAACUUCAAGUUACUCUUGUCUGCCAUUUUACCUUGUUCAUCAAACAAAAUCAGUUUAAAAAGAACAAGAUUAUAUGAACUAAAGGAACAUCGAUUACUUCAAAGAGUACACAACCGACACAAGCGAUUACUGUUUAUAUUCAAGACUUCAUUACAUUCAAUAAAAAAACUAAAUCAUUAGGUAGAUCCUCUCAUAUCUUAC
rnacentral:misc_RNA from 1 species